rnacentral:rRNA from 1 species
AGCAGCCGCGGUAAUUCCAGCUCCAAUAGCGUAUAUUAAAGUUGUUGCAGUUAAAAAGCUCGUAGUUGAAUUUUGGAUUCUUCCAAUUGGUCCAUCUUUUAGAUGAGUACUGGUUGUGUGGGGUCUAUCCGCCUGGUGAUACGUAAUGUCCUUUAUUGGAUGUUGCGGGUAGUCAGGACCUUUACCUUGAAAAAAUUAGAGUGUUUAAAGCAGGCUUAUGCCGGAAUACAUUAGCAUGGAAUAAUAGAAUAGGACGAAGUCGUUUUAUUUUGUUGGUUUCUAGGACAACCGUAAUGAUUAAUAGGGAUAGUUGGGGGCAUUAGUAUUCAAUUGUCAGAGGUGAAAUUCUUGGAUUUAUUGAAGACUAACUACUGCGAAAGCAUUUGCCAAGGAUGUUUUCAUUAAUCAAGAACGAAAGUUAGGGGAUCGAAGACGAUCAGAUACCGUCGUAGUCUUAACCAUAAACUAUGCCGACUAGGGAUCGGGUGAUGUUGUUUCCAUGACUCGCUCGGCACCUUAU